UGCAGGACUACGAUUCCCAGAAUGCUCCACGACGCUAAACUCCAUUUCCCAGAGGCCUCAGCCAACGUGUGAGAUCUCGUUGAGCGGGAUCAAGCAAUUCUACCCGCGAAUGUUUGUUCGUAAAUGUCUCAGGUUGCGACCCACGUUUUAAACCGUGAAGUGGUCUUACCAUGUUUUGCCCUACGGUAGUGCAUUGUAUUUGCCUACUUCAACCAGCAUGUAGUUGCGAAUGGAGCCCAGCGCCAGUCGGUGUGUCCUUGGCAGAAAAGAAUCCAACAGAAGUAGGUCACAGUCUUCGGCCAGUGGGAGCACAAGUUCAACUGUUUGGUCGCCUGGAUUCGUUGCUUUCAAAUGUAGCAGGGAAGAAACCAUCCAAGAAACCAACGCCAUCACUGUCGGAGGAGCAGGCUGUCUUGCUGGGGUUGUAGUUUCAGCUUUGGG